ensembl:snRNA U6 U6 spliceosomal RNA
GUGCUAGAUUCAGCAGCACAUUGGAACAAUAAAGAGAUUAGCAUGGCUGCUAUAUAGCAAUGACAUACAAAUCCGUGAAGUGUUCUGUAUUUUU